UAUAGCGGCGGAGAAACAUUCCCCGUUUCGGAGUAAAAAAUCCAAACCGACGUCGAAUAAAAAAUAAGUGCGUUAAACACGCACUUGUGUGUUUUUAUGGAAUUUCCCUCGAAUAUAGGGACCAUUGCAUUGACAGAUGCAUUACGCAUCUGUUUUAUAGAUGCAGAGUAAUUAUUUUAUCACGAACCGGCAGUUUUCUCGGGGGAUUUUAUGAGACGUAUUUGAUUUCUGUUGGUUUUUUUUUUCCCAUCGUAAUGGAAUCGGCUUAGCGUUAUUUUAAGACUAUUUUAAACUGUUUACCCCUACUCUUUAUACCCGAAACGAGUAUUCACUUUGGAAUUUUAAAUAGCGAUCUCCUCCCCCUUUCGACCGCACAUUCAAACGGAGAAUAAUUUUUCCAGAUAGACUUGUUUCGAUAAGAGUCGGAUCGAAUUUCAAUAUCGUGUGAUGAACAAUACUGUGUUGAUGCGGGCGGAAAGAUUUUUUUUUAGUUUUGUACAUCGCUUACAGACUCUCCGAGCGAAGCUAGGGACGGUAAAAUGUGGUAUAAAUGCACGGCUAUAGGGGGAGCUUUCUAAGGAUUUCAGCAGUAAAUCUCCACCCCAAACGUUUUUACGAUACAUUUUCACAAUUUCGUCGGGAGUAGUUGAAUUUUAUUACAAAAUAUCGCAUCGUAUUGUACUAUCAUAAUAUUCGGCGAAUCGAUUAUCGUUUCGCAAAUAAGAUUUCUAUUAUAAAAAAAAAAAAAAAAAAAAAAAAAAAAAAAUAAUAGGUGGGAGAAAAUUCGACUCUACAGCGACGGAGCUCUGCUGCUCACCGAUGUUUUUUUUCUUCUCUCGUUUAGUAUAAAAACGUAAUUAUAGGAAAAAAAAAAAAUAAAAAAAAAAACACUCGGCCCACAUAUUAUUAUAGCAACGUUAUUAUAAUGGUAGUAUAGGUUUUUUACACGGGUAUGCGAGAUUCGUAAUAAGAGUAUUUGUACGUACUAUAUAGUGUAUUAUUUAUUUAUACCUUUCAUGUACGAAUGAACUUUGAUUCGUGCGAUUAGGUUAACAACAUAUUAUUUUGCCAAUUUCUCUUAUGUAACGUCAAUAUGUAUAAAACGGUCCGGGCAUUACAUACUAUUAUAUAUAAUUAUUAUAAUAUUACGAUGACUAUAAUAUGCAGUAGGUACACCGACGUUAAGUAUUUUUGCGGUAGUUGCACAACGCGAGC